rnacentral:rRNA from 1 species
UACGUAGGGUGCAAGCGUUAAUCGGAAUUACUGGGCGUAAAGCGUGCGCAGGCGGUCCGUUAAGACAGAUGUGAAAUCCCCGGGCUUAACCUGGGAACUGCAUUUGUGACUGGCGGACUCGAGUAUGGCAGAGGGGGGGUAGAAUUCCACGUGUAGCAGUGAAAAUGCGUAGAUAUGUGGAGGAACACCGAUGGCGAAGGCAGCCCCCUGG